rnacentral:rRNA from 1 species
GACAGAGGGUGCAAACGUUGUUCGGAAUUACUGGGCGUAAAGCGCGUGUAGGCGGCCCUGCAAGUCGGAUGUGAAAUCCCACGGCUCAACCGUGGAAGUGCAUUCGAAACUGCAGGGCUAGAGUCCUGGAGAGGAAGGUGGAAUGCUUGGUGUAGAGGUGAAAUGCGCAGAUAUCAGGAGGAACACCGAUGGCGAAGGCAGCUCGCUGGGACGGUACUGACGCUGAGGCGCGAAAGCGUGGGGAGCAAACAGG